UACGGGGGAGCAAGCGUUGUUCGGAUUUACUGGGCGUAAAGGGCGCGUAGGCGGUCAGCACAAGUCAGUUGUGAAAUCUCCGGGCUUAACUCGGAAAGGUCAACUGAUACUGUGCGACUAGAGUGCAGAAGGGGCAACUGGAAUUCUCGGUGUAGCGGUGAAAUGCGUAGAUAUCGAGAGGAACACCUGCGGCGAAGGCGGGUUGCUGGGCUGACAUUGACGCUGAUGCGCGAAAGCCAGGGGAGCGAACGGG
rnacentral:rRNA from 1 species